CCUCGUGGUGCAGCCUGGUAACAUCAUCUAGUGAUGAUGGCCAAGAGCAGAGCAGUUUGUUAUGAGUGUCUGAUUCUUAGUGAACUCAGCAUUCAUUGGCCUUCAGGCCUUGAUCUUUGCUCUCUGUGAGCAAUCACCCUGCCACUGCUCCCUGCGAGCAACCGUCCUGCUGCUGCUCGCUACGAGCAAUCGCCCUGCCGCUGCUCCCUGCGAGCAAUCGCCCUGCCGCUGCUCCCUGUGAGCAAUCACCCUGCCUCCGCCCUGCCUCUGCUCUCUGUGAGCAAUCACCCUGCCGCUGCUCACUACGAGCAAUCGCCCUGCCGCUGCUCCCUGCGAGCAAUCACCCUGCCGCUGCUCCCUGCGAGCAAUCGUUCUGCUGCUGCUCGCUACGAGCAAUCGCCCUGCCGCUGCUCCCUGCGAGCAAUUGCCCUGCCUCCGCCCUGCCUCCGCCCUGCCUCUGCUCUCUGUGAGAGCAAUCACUCUGCCGCUGCUCACUACGAGCAAUCGCCCUGCCGCUGCUCCCUGCGAGCAAUCGCCCUGCUGCUGCUCCCUGCGAGCAAUCGUCCUGCUGCUGCUCGCUACGAGCAAUCGCCCUGCCGCUGCUCCCUGUGAGCAAUCGCCCUGCCUCCGCCCUGCCUCCGCCCUGCCUCUGCUCUCUGUGAGAGCAAUCACUCUGCUGCUGCUCACUACGAGCAAUCGCCCUGCCGCUGCUCCCUGCGAGCAAUCGCCCUGCCGCUGCUCACUACGAGCAAUCGCCCUGCCGCUGCUCCCUGCGAGCAAUCACUCUGCUGCUGCUCACUACGAGCAAUCGCCCUGCCGCUGCUCCCUGCGAGCAAUCGCCCUGCCGUAGCACUUAUGUGCUUUGAUUAUCUCUACCAUGAAUGGCCAUAUGUUGGGUCAGAAGUGGAUGAACAGUCUAUAUAGACUGAGUCUUCUCAAGAGUUGCUAUCUGGAUUCUGUGUCUAUCAUUACUGUGUAUAUAGAGAUUUCUCCAGUGUAGCACAUCUCCAUGCCCUUCGGGAGGCUUCUGAAACACAGGCGCUGCCCGUGUUUUCUCUGGGAUGUUAAACCAAUACAUACAUACAUACACAUACAGUUUGCAAACUUGAUCAUAAAUAUGUUGAAUUCUUCAAGAUUCUGAAUAUCAUUGAAAAACAAGUGUACAAAUUAGAAUUAUCAUCUUUAUAUAAAAGCAUUCAUUCUGUAUUCCAUGUAUUUUUAUUAAAGUCAUACAAUCAUA
rnacentral:sRNA from 1 species